GAUGCAAGACCAACAUUCACUGAAUUAAGAAAUCAGUUGAAGGACAUGGAAAGGCAGCACAAGAGGCUGAUCAACAUGAAAAUGUACGACAAGCACUUGUAUGCAAACUUUGAAGAUCUACUGGUAUAGUCAAGUACACAUGUCGUCAAAGUUUGAUUGGCUGUGAAAGAGAUUUGCUACAAAAGUUCAAGGUUGGCGUACACGAGAAGGCUAAUCGCAAGAACAUGUCUCGGGGACUAGUCCAUUUUAGGGUUACACCAUGGCACUAUUCUCUAGAUCAUGAAUGGUUUACACUGUGGGACCUGUUACAUAUCAUAGCAAAAUUAUGCGCUUUCACUGAAAAUCAGCAAAGCAAGGAGGCGAAAUAAAAAAGGGAGCGGUCCUAAACAGAGAAACCGAAUUUACUAAUUUACUGAGUAUUGUCAUACAAUGAAAAGCUUGUGUUAUUCUUCUUGCUUCAAUUUGAUUCUCAAAAAUAUUAUUCGCCGGUUUUUUUUUUUCUGUUUAAAAAAUAAUCGAGGAGCUAGAUAGUUGUGCAUUUUUCGGGUAGUUGUAGGCAUAUGUCAAAGCUUAUUUUCAUAGACGCAGUUUUUUAAAACAAUAGUUUCAUACUUUUUGUGUUCAAUAAAAUUGUAAACAAG